rnacentral:rRNA from 1 species
AAUGAACGCUGGCGGCGUGCCUAACACAUGCAAGUCGAGCGAGACCUUCGGGUCUAGCGGCGGACGGGUUAGUAACGCGUGGGAACGUGCCCUUCUCUGCGGAAUAGCCACUGGAAACGGUGAGUAAUACCGCAUACGCCCUUCGGGGGAAAGAUUUAUCGGAGAAGGAUCGGCCCGCGUUAGAUUAGAUAGUUGGUGGGUAACGGCCUACCAAGUCUACGAUCUAUAGCUGGUUUUAGAGGAUGAUCAGCAACACUGGGACUGAGACACGGCCCAGACUCCUACGGGAGGCAGCAGUGGGGAAUCUUAGACAAUGGGCGCAAGCCUGAUCUAGCCAUGCCGCGUGUGUGAUGAAGGUCUUAGGAUCGUAAAGCACUUUCGCCAGGGAUGAUAAUGACAGUACCUGGUAAAGAAACCCCGGCUAACUCCGUG